GUUAAGCGACUAAGCGUACACGGUGGAUGCCCUGGCAGUCAGAGGCGAUGAAGGACGUGCUAAUCUGCGAUAAGCGUCGGUAAGGUGAUAUGAACCGUUAUAACCGGCGAUUUCCGAAUGGGGAAACCCAGUGUGUUUCGACACACUAUCAUUAACUGAAUCCAUAGGUUAAUGAGGCGAACCGGGGGAACUGAAACAUCUAAGUACCCCGAGGAAAAGAAAUCAACCGAGAUUCCCCCAGUAGCGGCGAGCGAACGGGGAGCAGCCCAGAGCCUGAAUCAGUGUGUGUGUUAGUGGAAGCGUCUGGAAAGGCGCGCGAUACAGGGUGACAGCCCCGUACACAAAAAUGCACAUGCUGUGAGCUCGAUGAGUAGGGCGGGACACGUGGUAUCCUGUCUGAAUAUGGGGGGACCAUCCUCCAAGGCUAAAUACUCCUGACUGACCGAUAGUGAACCAGUACCGUGAGGGAAAGGCGAAAAGAACCCCGGCGAGGGGAGUGAAAAAGAACCUGAAACCGUGUACGUACAAGCAGUGGGAGCACGCUUAGGCGUGUGACUGCGUACCUUUUGUAUAAUGGGUCAGCGACUUAUAUUCUGUAGCAAGGUUAACCGAAUAGGGGAGCCGAAGGGAAACCGAGUCUUAACUGGGCGUUAAGUUGCAGGGUAUAGACCCGAAACCCGGUGAUCUAGCCAUGGGCAGGUUGAAGGUUGGGUAACACUAACUGGAGGACCGAACCGACUAAUGUUGAAAAAUUAGCGGAUGACUUGUGGCUGGGGGUGAAAGGCCAAUCAAACCGGGAGAUAGCUGGUUCUCCCCGAAAGCUAUUUAGGUAGCGCCUCGUGAAUUCAUCUCCGGGGGUAGAGCACUGUUUCGGCAAGGGGGUCAUCCCGACUUACCAACCCGAUGCAAACUGCGAAUACCGGAGAAUGUUAUCACGGGAGACACACGGCGGGUGCUAACGUCCGUCGUGAAGAGGGAAACAACCCAGACCGCCAGCUAAGGUCCCAAAGUCAUGGUUAAGUGGGAAACGAUGUGGGAAGGCCCAGACAGCCAGGAUGUUGGCUUAGAAGCAGCCAUCAUUUAAAGAAAGCGUAAUAGCUCACUGGUCGAGUCGGCCUGCGCGGAAGAUGUAACGGGGCUAAACCAUGCACCGAAGCUGCGGCAGCGACGCUGAUGCGUUGUUGGGUAGGGGAGCGUUCUGUAAGCCUGCGAAGGUGUGCUGUGAGGCAUGCUGGAGGUAUCAGAAGUGCGAAUGCUGACAUAAGUAACGAUAAAGCGGGUGAAAAGCCCGCUCGCCGGAAGACCAAGGGUUCCUGUCCAACGUUAAUCGGGGCAGGGUGAGUCGACCCCUAAGGCGAGGCCGAAAGGCGUAGUCGAUGGGAAACAGGUUAAUAUUCCUGUACUUGGUGUUACUGCGAAGGGGGGACGGAGAAGGCUAUGUUGGCCGGGCGACGGUUGUCCCGGUUUAAGCGUGUAGGCUGGUUUUCCAGGCAAAUCCGGAAAAUCAAGGCUGAGGCGUGAUGACGAGGCACUACGGUGCUGAAGCAACAAAUGCCCUGCUUCCAGGAAAAGCCUCUAAGCAUCAGGUAACAUCAAAUCGUACCCCAAACCGACACAGGUGGUCAGGUAGAGAAUACCAAGGCGCUUGAGAGAACUCGGGUGAAGGAACUAGGCAAAAUGGUGCCGUAACUUCGGGAGAAGGCACGCUGAUAUGUAGGUGAAGUCCCUCGCGGAUGGAGCUGAAAUCAGUCGAAGAUACCAGCUGGCUGCAACUGUUUAUUAAAAACACAGCACUGUGCAAACACGAAAGUGGACGUAUACGGUGUGACGCCUGCCCGGUGCCGGAAGGUUAAUUGAUGGGGUUAGCCGCAAGGCGAAGCUCUUGAUCGAAGCCCCGGUAAACGGCGGCCGUAACUAUAACGGUCCUAAGGUAGCGAAAUUCCUUGUCGGGUAAGUUCCGACCUGCACGAAUGGCGUAAUGAUGGCCAGGCUGUCUCCACCCGAGACUCAGUGAAAUUGAACUCGCUGUGAAGAUGCAGUGUACCCGCGGCAAGACGGAAAGACCCCGUGAACCUUUACUAUAGCUUGACACUGAACAUUGAGCCUUGAUG
rnacentral:rRNA from 1 species